AUUGAACGCUGGCGGCAGGCCUAACACAUGCAAGUCGAACGGUAGCACAGAGAGCUUGCUCUUGGGUGACGAGUGGCGGACGGGUGAGUAAUGUCUGGGAAACUGCCUGAUGGAGGGGGAUAACUACUGGAAACGGUAGCUAAUACCGCAUAACGUCGCAAGACCAAAGAGGGGGACCUUCGGGCCUCUUGCCAUCAGAUGUGCCCAGAUGGGAUUAGCUAGUAGGUGGGGUAAUGGCUCACCUAGGCGACGAUCCCUAGCUGGUCUGAGAGGAUGACCAGCCACACUGGAACUGAGACACGGUCCAGACUCCUACGGGAGGCAGCAGUGGGGAAUAUUGCACAAUGGGCGCAAGCCUGAUGCAGCCAUGCUGCGUGUAUGAAGAAGGCCUUCGGGUUGUAAAGUACUUUCAGCGAGGAGGAAGGUGGUGAGGUUAAUAACCUUAUCAAUUGACGUUACUCGCAGAAGAAGCACCGGCUAACUCCGUGCCAGCAGCCGCGGUAACAC
rnacentral:rRNA from 1 species